UACGUAGGGAGCAAGCGUUGUCCGGAAUCAUUGGGCGUAAAGCGCGCGUAGGUGGCCACAUAAGUCCGUUGUGAAAGUCAAAGGCUCAACCUUUGAAAGCCGAUGGAUACUGUGUGGCUAGAGUACGGAAGAGGCGAGUGGAAUUCCUGGUGUAGCGGUGGAAUGCGCAGAUAUUGGGAGGAACACCAACGGCGAAGGCAGCUCGCUGGGACGGUACUGACGCUGAGGCGCGAAAGCGUGGGGAGCGAACAGG
rnacentral:rRNA from 1 species